rnacentral:rRNA from 1 species
AUUGAACGCUGGCGGCAGGCCUAACACAUGCAAGUCGAGCGAGCGGCGGACGGGUGAGUAAUGUAUGGGUAUCUGCCUGAUGGAGGGGGAUAACUACUGGAAACGGUAGCUAAUACCGCAUACCAUCAGAUGAGCCCAGAUGGGAUUAGCUUGUAGGUGAGGUAAUGGCUCACCUAGGCGACGAUCCCUAGCUGGUCUGAGAGGAUGAGCAGCCACACUGGGACUGAGACACGGCCCAGACUCCUACGGGAGGCAGCAGUGGGGAAUAUUGCACAAUGGGCGCAAGCCUGAUGCAGCCAUGCCGCGUGUAUGAAGAAGGUCUUCGGAUUGUAAAGCACUUUAAGUUGGGAGGCGUUACCAACAGAAUAAGCACCGGCUAACUUCGUGCCAGCCGCCGCGGUAAUUC